rnacentral:rRNA from 1 species
CCCCACAAUGGAACUGAGACACGGUCCAUACUCCUACGGGAGGCAGCAGUGAGGAAUAUUGCGCAAUGGGGGCAACCCUGACGCAGCAACGCCGCGUGGAUGAUGAAGGCCUUCGGGUUGUAAAAUCCUUUUCCGGGGGAAGAAUCAUGACGGUACCUCGGGAAUAAGUCCCGGCUAACUACGUGCCAGCAGCCGCGGUAAAACGUACGGGGCGAGCGUUAUCCGGAUUUACUGGGCGUAAAGCGCACGUAGGCGGCGCUGUAAGUUGGGCGUGAAAGCUCCCGGCUCAACUGGGAGAGGUCGUUCAAAACUGCAGUGCUUGAGGUUGGAAGAGGAGAGUGGAAUUCCCGGUGUACUGGUGGAAUGCGUAGAUAUCGGGAGGAACACCAGUGGCGAAGGCGGCUCUCUGGUCCAACCCUGACGCUGAGGUGCGAAAGCGUGGGGAGCGAACGGGAUUAGAUACCCCGGUAGUCCACGCUGUAAACGAUGGAUACUAGGUGUGGGAGGUUACUUACCCCUUCCGUGCCGUAGCUAACGUGAUAAGUAUCCCGCCUGGGGACUACGGCCGCAAGGUUAAAACUCAAAGGAAUUGACGGGGGCCCGCACAAGCAGCGGAGCGUGUGGUUUAAUUCGAUGAUACGCGAAGAACCUUACCUGGGCUUGACAUGUUGGUAGUAGUGAAGCGAAAGCGGAUCGACCCUUCGGGGAGCCAUCACAGGUGCUGCAUGGCUGUCGUCAGCUCGUGUCGUGAGAUGUUGGGUUAAGUCCCGCAACGAGCGCAACCCUUGUCGUUAGUUACAUGUGUCUAGCGAGACUGCCGGUACCAAACCGGAGGAAGGUGGGGAUGACGUCAAGUCAGCAUGGUCUUUAUGUCCAGGGCUACACACACGCUACAAUGGCCGGUACAAUAGGUUGCCACACCGCGAGGUGGAGCUAAUCCCAAAGCCGGUCUCAGUUCGGAUUGUAGUCUGCAACUCGACUGCAUGAAGGCGGAGUUGCUAGUAACCGCGCGUCAGCAAUAGUGCGGUGAAUGCGUUCCCGGGCAUUGUACACACCGCCCGUCACAUCACGGAAGUCGGUAACACACUGAAGUCGGCGACCCAACCGCAAGGAGGGAGCUGCCUAAGGUGGGAUCGCACCUGGGAUGAAGUCGU